rnacentral:lncRNA from 1 species
GUUGAGAGCAUACUGUUGUGGAUGGUGUCAUGGUUCAGUAGAAUGCCUUUCGACUGAUGUAAAUGUCAGGUUGGACAGGGAGCCCCCACCUGGGCAGGGAGCCAGACCUCACUUACACUGCUUCUGUUGCCUGUCAAAUUGCAACAAUAGGAUCACAGUGAAGCAGCAUCCUCUCCAAACAGGGACCCCCUGCUGCAUAACAAGCCCACGUAUCCUUUUUCAGCAGUGA